GCUUUCUGCGGCCUGAAGAGGAUGAGAACCUCCGGGGCAGGGAGGUUCGACUCGAGCGAAGCGAGAGAACGUUGCGCCAGCAACGGCCCGCAGGGCGAGCCACGAAGUGGCGAGUAAUCCUCUAUCACCGACCA
rnacentral:sRNA from 1 species